CUGCACCUUGUACCCUCAAAGUUUCAUCGGGGACUGGCAUUUUGUCUUACUAUAUCACCCUUUAAAGAAAGUCUGGGCCGUGAUUUCCAACAGAAAAUAUUGCUUUGUUUACUUUCCAUCUCCCAGAAAUUCAUUCAAUUCUCACUUCUUCUAUUUAUUUUUCAUCAAUAAAAGCUUAUAAUUUAUUAAAAAUUUCUUUUUCCUUGUAUCAAUGGAGUCUCAUGAGAGAGAGCAGAUAAAUGCAUAUGGUUCAUAAACUACUUGGAACCAGGGCAUAGACCCAAAGAAUAAAUCAUCUCAAUCUUUAGUGCAUCUUAUUUCAUUUAUUUAACUAAUAUUUGUUGAA
rnacentral:lncRNA from 1 species